AGUGAACGCUGGCGGUAGGCCUAACACAUGCAAGUCGAACGGCAGCACAGUAAGAGCUUGCUCUUACGGGUGGCGAGUGGCGGACGGGUGAGGAAUACAUCGGAAUCUACUUUUUCGUGGGGGAUAACGUAGGGAAACUUACGCUAAUACCGCAUACGACCUACGGGUGAAAGCAGGGGAUCUUCGGACCUUGCGCGAUUGAAUGAGCCGAUGUCGGAUUAGCUAGUUGGCGGGGUAAAGGCCCACCAAGGCGACGAUCCGUAGCUGGUCUGAGAGGAUGAUCAGCCACACUGGAACUGAGACACGGUCCAGACUCCUACGGGAGGCAGCAGUGGGAAAUAUUGGACAAUGAGCGCAAGCCUGAUCCAGCCAUACCGCGUGGGUGAAGAAGGCCUUCGGGUUGUAAAGCCCUUUUGUUGGGAAAGAAAAGCAGCAGGUUAAUACCCCGCUGUUCUGACGGUACCCAAAGAAUAAGCACCGGCUAACUUCGUG
rnacentral:rRNA from 1 species